UACGUAGGGGGCAAGCGUUGUCCGGAUUUAUUGGGCGUAAAGAGCUCGUAGGCGGUCUGUCGCGUCGGUCGUGAAAACUUGGGGCUUAACCCUGAGCUUGCGGUCGAUACGGGCAUGACUGGAGUUCGGCAGGGGAGACUGGAAUUCCUGGUGUAGCGGUGAAAUGCGCAGAUAUCAGGAGGAACACCGGUGGCGAAGGCGGGUCUCUGGGCCGAUACUGACGCUGAGGAGCGAAAGCGUGGGGAGCGAACAGG
rnacentral:rRNA from 1 species